rnacentral:SRP_RNA from 1 species
UUCGAGAGGUUGGCGCGGGCAGGCACCUCGCCAACCCGGUCAGGUCCGGAAGGAAGCAGCCGUAACGAGCCCCGCUUGGGUCGUUGUCCAGCCUCUCACCCUU